rnacentral:rRNA from 1 species
AUUGAACGCUGGCGGCAUGCCUAACACAUGCAAGUCGAACGGGGCAGCAAUGCCUAGUGGCGGACGGGUGAGGAAUACGUAGGAAUCUGCCCUUAAGUGGGGGAUAACCAGGGGAAACCCUGACUAAUACCGCAUGAUCUCUUCGGAGCAAAGAGGGGGACCGCAAGGCCUCUCGCUUCUGGAUGAGCCUACGUCUGAUUAGCUAGUUGGUAGGGUAAAGGCCUACCAAGGCGACGAUCAGUAACUGGUCUGAGAGGAUGAUCAGUCACACCGGAGCUGAGAAACGGGCCGGAAUCCUACGGGAGGCAGACGUGGGGAAUAUUGGACAAUGGGCGCAAGCCUGAUCCAGCAAUGCCGCGUGUGGGAAGAAGGCCUUCGGGUUGUAAAGCACUUUAGCCUGGAAAGAAAAAACUUUGGUUAACACCCAAAGUCUUGACGGUACCGGAGAAUAAGCACCGGCUAACUCUGUGCCAGCAGCCGCCGUAAGAC